CGUAGGGGCAAGCGUUGUCCGGAUUUAUUGGGCGUAAAGCGCUCGCAGGUGGUCCGUCGCGUCGUGCGUGAAAGGCCCCGGCUCAACCGGGGAGGGUCGUGCGAUACGGGCGGACUGGAGGCCAGUAGGGGGAUGCGGAAUUCCGGGUGUAGUGGUGGAAUGCGUAGAGAUCCGGAGGAACACCAGCGGCGAAGGCGGCAUCCUGGACUGGUCCUGACACUCAGGAGCGAAAGCGUGGGGAGCGAUCCGGAUU
rnacentral:rRNA from 1 species